rnacentral:lncRNA from 1 species
AGACAUCCCAAUUGCCCACAGAUUGUUCUCAACAACAAAGAUAAUGGGCAAUUUCCACAAUGCGGCCAUGUUCAAGCACUCGUAGAAUUGGCCAUUGUUGCAAGUUCCAUCACCAAAGAAGGCUAGAGUGACAUGAUCACAUUCAGCGCCCUUCAAGACCUCCUUUCUGUACUUGCUAGUGAAUGCAGCACCUGUAGCCACCGGGAUUCCCUCACCAAUAAAAGCGAAACCACCAAGAACAUUGUGCUCUUUGGAGAACAUGUGCAUGGAUCCACCCUGGCCUCUACAAUCAGCCUCCUUCAAGACCUCCCUUCUGUACUUGCUAGUGAAUGCAGCACCUGCAGCCACCGGGAUUCCCUCACCGAUAAAAGCGAAACCACCAAGAACAUUGUGCUCUUUGGAGAACAUGUGCAUGGAUCCACCCUGGCCUCUACAACAGCCCGUGGUCUUUCCAAAUAGCUCACUCAUCACUUGACGAGCUGGGACACCUUUACUCAAUGCAUGGACAUGGUCACGGUAAGUGCUAACUACAGAGUCUUCCUUCUUCAAGAGCUUAAUGAAACCAGUCGAGACAGCUUCUUGGCCGUUGUACAAAUGCACGAAACCAAACAUUUUGCCCCUGUAAUACAUUUGGGCGCACAUGUCCUCAAAAGCUCUUCCCAGCACCAUGUCCUCAUACAGUACCAACCCUUCCUCUUUAGUAAUCAAC